rnacentral:miRNA from 1 species
GGUUCUGGUCCAGGUCCAGGUCCAGGUCCAGGUCCUGGUCCUGGUCCUGGUCCUGGUCGUGGUCCUGGUCGUGGUC